CCAUGAUGCUCACCAACACCAUUUAUGUACUGCUAUAGCUUUAAGCCAUGCAGAUGAAGGAGGAAUAGAGGCAAGAAGAGACCUAGUCUCAGCCCUAGCCAUUCUCCCACUGGCUAGGACAUAUCUUCAUGUAACUUUUGGCUGAAAUUGUCGUUAAGCAGCAUAGCAAAGUGGAUCACUUCUGCCUAGACAUGGAUGAAAGAGAUGGGUGCAAGGAGGAGGAACCAGUAAAAGAUGAGGAAGCAAAAAAUGAGGCAUCCAGAAUGAGCAGUGAAGAGUCUCUAUGUUACUUCAGCCGUGUUUCUACUGCUAUGAGGAAAUGAUCACUGUUGGGAAAGUUGUUCAGUGCAUUGGUUAUCUGCUGUGAACUUCUUGUGAAGGGAGCUGUGUUUUCCCUCAGUACCUCUCACUUGAAAUGGAUCCAGAAUUACUGACUUGAAUUGUGAGGUCAUAAUAUGUUCAUAUGUGGAGCCUAGGCACAAGUGAUGGGCAAGGAGCACAGCAUGUGGGCAUGGAUGACAGCCCAAACGUACCAGUCACACAAGCUAUCUGGUCUCAUCCAGAAGAAAGGAGACAGAUGUCUGAUAACAGGCUUUAUCUGAAGAGGAUCUGCCUCAAUUCACUGGACUGUGUGCGGAAUCUGCUCCUGCUACCAGCCUUCUUUUUUUGGAUGCAUUAAGGUUGCGCUGUGACCAUAGAGGACGGUGUGUGCACUGUAGCACCCUAGCUCCUGGCUUAUCUUUUAUUGUGGAGUAGCUGUGCUCUUGUUUCCUGCUGCUACAGGGUUACUUUUCAAUAUGAUGGACUGUAUACACACUCCUCAGUCCCCCACCUCAUGAACACCACCGGAGAGCACUUUAUGGCAUGGCACCUCCCAUGAAAAUGCUCUAUCCAAGCCACAGAGAAUCUGCUGGUUUGGGAGAGGGUAGCUCGCAGAAGGGAAAACGUCCAUGAGGAUGAACCUGACAUCUACAAGUAACCCUUGUGCCAAUCCUGUGGUUUCUGCUGUUCCUCCAGGGCCUAAGAAGACCUUAAAUGAUCUGCAGGGCUUCUGUGCAGAUUCCUUUCUUUUGUAAGCAAAAGGAGGGCAAGAGGAUUAGGCACUGUCUCUCUCAAUUAAGAAUAAAGAGAACUCCAGUUUGGAGCA